GCCUAAUCACAUUCGGGACCUAUGUGCAUGUUCAUGAGCUGGGGUUUGGGCAGAUUCCAAAGGUUUAUGUGUUCAAGGGAUCAAAGGAAGUUUCUAAAGAUCAAGUGUUGGAGCAAAUGGGCUUCUUUGCAAAUAAGCCUAAACCAACCACUGGUGUCAUUGCAGGGGUUAGAGAUGGACUUUCUCAAGAGAGUAUUUCUAGGUUUUUGUUGCCUGCAUCUGAAUGCGAGUUUACACUCAAUUCGGUAUCGUUUUAAUCGUGUCUUUUUUGUAUGUAAAUACUGUUAUAGAUAUGCUGCCCAUUUGUCAGAACUCAUGACUCAACGUGUACACUGAAAAAAGGGAAUGCACUUGUAGGUCCUGUCGAAUAUUUGUUUGUCAACAACAAACCGCAAAUAAGCGUAAACCAACCACUGGUGUCAUUGCUGGGGUUAGAGAUGGACUUUCUCAAGAGAGUAUUUCUAGGUUUUUGUUGCCUGCAUCUGAAUGCGAGUUUACACUCAAUUCGGUAUGGUUUCAAUCGUGUCUUUUUUGUAUGUAAAUACUGUUAUAGAUAUGCUGCCCAUUUGUCAGAACUCAUGACUUAACGUGUAAAC
rnacentral:lncRNA from 1 species